CCAGAAGUACUGGCACGGAAUGGUCCAAAAAUGAUUUUAAUGCUUGCUGUAGGUCUUAGAUGAAAUAUUAUUACCUCAAAAUGGCAUCCCAAGCAACAGACAGAGAGAUAUCUAGCCAAAACUGUCGAAUGCUUCUGGAGUGGCACCGAUUUUGUGCACGAAUUUACUUGUCGUAUGCAAUUCUUAAUUACGCAUCGAGCAGGCAAGGUAGGCAUGCCAGGCUAACCAAGAGACCCC
rnacentral:lncRNA from 1 species